rnacentral:rRNA from 1 species
GUGCCAGCCGCCGCGGUAAAACGUAGGAGACAAGCGUUAUCCGGAGUUACUGGGCGUAAAGGGCGUGUAGGCGGAUGGCUAAGCUGGGUGUGAAAGCCUCUGGCUCAACCGGGGGAGGCCACCCAGGACUGGCUGUCUGGAGGGCGGGAGAGGGGUGUGGAAUUCCGGGUGUAGUGGUGAAAUGCGUAGAGAUCCGGAGGAACACCAGCGGCGAAGGCGGCACUCUAGCCCGCACCUGACGCUGAGACGCGACAGCACGGGGAGCGAACGGGAUUAGAAACCCGGGUAGUCC